rnacentral:rRNA from 1 species
GUCUACAGCCAUACCAUCCUGAACGUGCCGGAUCUAGUGUGAUCUCCCAAGCUAAGCAGGGUCGGGCCUGGUUAGUACUUGGAUGGGAGACCGCCUGGGAUACCAGGUGCUGUAGUUU